CAAUUUGAACAUUGGUCUUGAGUUUUCUCCAUCUACAGUCAUGGAUAAGCAGGGAUUCUAAUUGUGUCAGAGUUCCACAGUCGAAAACCAGGGUCUAGAAGCUCUCCCAGAAAUAUUAAGCACAGAAUACAAUGGUGACCUUGAAUAGAGAGUGUGUCUCUUGUUGGAAAGGUAGGCAGUGUGCUCGUGUUUGUGUGUGUAAUUUUCUUGUACGUUUUAUGCUCCUUAUUGCUACCCCCGACAUCUGUGAGCUGAGGAUCCCUUUCCCAUCAUCAUCAUUGGCCCAGAUUGUGCUGGGCUCCCUGGCUCCUGGCCCUGAGCCCCGCAAAGAAGGGAUCAGCAAGGAACUGGAUGUGACGGAGGACAUCUUGCAUCUUGCCAGGCGCCCCUUCUACAAGAGGCAAGUCGAUGGAGAGCAGAUGAAGCCCGGAUUCUGUGUGUGUCCAUUAGCUCCUUCCUGAAGCAUCUCUCCUUGGUGGUGGAAACUAUGGACCUGUUUGGGCCUCCUGUGGCUUGAUAGAUGGUUGCAACAGGAAGCUUCCCCAUAGUCUUGGCUGGACUCUGGACUUGCCCAUGGGCUACUGAUGUCAGAGGAGGCGCUGAACAUGCCAUCCUUAGAGCCAAGAUGCUGCUUUGUGUUCUGGAGCCAGCGGGGAACUCUCUACUCUUGGAUACUCUUGGAUAUUGAUAGAUGGGUGCUGAGAAGCAGGCAAGCCUGGGACUGCCUUGAUAUAAGACAAAGUACAUAGAAUCUGGUCCUCUAAUAAACUAUCCAGUGUGCUUUACAUUUUAGUCUGUAUGUGUUAACUGAUUAAAUAUUUUUGAGCCGG